AUGACUGGUGGGCUCUCUGCGCCUGUCUAUUGGCGGGGUGAGACUUCCCCGCGUGCGCGUCGUGGGUUCCUGGCUCGUCUGCAGUUGAUGGAAAGGAUGAAUCGUCGCAUGCACACCCGCCGCGCUUUGGGCCAGGCCGCACUUCCCGCGCCGCGCGCGACGUGCCUGACUCCUUUCGCCCAGACGCCCAGCCCCACAGCCGCCGCAGCACUCCGCCCCCAUCCUCCUGUCCUCCACCAUGAGCGCCUCCUCCUCCGCCUCCCCGCCGCGGCCUCUUCCUUCCUUGGCCGGCAGCCACUGCAUCUCCUCACCGUGGGGAGUGACAGUAGCGGCAGGGAGCCUCCCAUCCCCUCGAGCCGCCGGUGCCGGAUCCCGCUUCCGCCGCCCCCUUCGCGCAGUACUCCGCGCCCGCCGGCCAACUACAUGUGCAUCACCCUGAUCUGGAACAUUGUGGAGCAACGAGUGACAAAAGUAUUAGAUGAGAUCUGGAAGAAUGCAGCUAACUCUUGGUUGACUGGACUUAUGAGGCGCAAGAGAGAGCUACAUGGAGGUUUCACUGAGGGAGAUGGGGUUGAUGGAGAAGAAGAGGAAACAGAGGCGGGUGUUCUUGCGGCGCUCGGCUGGUUCCAAGACCGUGAGGGGAAGGACUUCAUGCCUCUGGAGGUGAAAGAGCAGAGGAUUCGGGAGAAGAAGCAACCAGAGGAGCCGGAGAACACGGCCCCUGUCCUGUAUAUCUGCCACAUCCCCCAUGCUUCUAUGAGUACCAGAUGCAAGAACCUACUGGACAGAACAAAGUCGAGGGAAGAAGUAUGCGAGUCAAGUAUCCGUGAUGACCAACUGAUGAAAAUCACAUUUGAGUGGCCCAGUCGUUUGAUCUGCUCCAACACUACCGUUCCGGCUUUCAGAUUGAGUAACCUGUACCCACGUCUACUGCAAACCUACUAG
rnacentral:rRNA from 1 species